AUGCUUACCAGGACGGGGGUCCUUGGGUGAUCCGGAAGGCUCAUUCCCUGGGUCGGUGACUCCAUUGCGCCUAGAAGGUGCGCUAGCCUAAUAACUCCUCAUAUGGGAGAGGGUACGUCCUAAUUCGUGGAAGUGGGGGCUUCGUUAGCGCGGCCACUG
rfam:Vitis vinifera, whole genome shotgun sequence of line PN40024, unoriented chromosome 7, chr7